AUCCAGAAAGCCCUAGAUUAUGGAAAAUAUCCAUUUUGUCCCGACACAAAUUUUCUCUCCUUCCCAUUAGCGCCGACAGCCCUCUCCCCUAUCCCCUUUCGUUUUUCCGAUCACCACUUGGACCGGCCGUCACCAACACCUCCUACCGUCGCCGCCUCUCCACCAACCUCUCCUUCUCCACUCUGUUUUCGGCGAGCAUAGUUAUCGCAGGAGAUGCUGCGAUUCUUUUUUCUCUCGAUCGGUAGCAACGAUCUCUCUCUCAUCUCCGGCGACACCAGCCUUUACCGUCGAUUCCACCUCGUCCCAGCGCCUUCGACCACCACUCCUCCACCUCCAGUUUCUCUCUCUUUCUGUUUCCGCUAGCGCAGCAAAGGCGAGCUGUUCUCUUCCGAUCGGCACAGCCUCCUUCAGCUCCUAUCUUCGAUUCUCCGGCAAGAUCAACCAAAGACGGCCGAUUAGACCCUUCUCUUGGCGUUAAUAGCUUUGUCGGCCACUGUCCUCGUCAGUUCCAGCCAAGUUAGCAUCGACAGUACCAGUUUUGAGCAUUGGAGCUAUUUCCGGUCAUUUUAACCGGAAAUUUUCAGUUUUCGACACAUUCUACAGCUAGAUUGUCAGGGUUGCCUACUGCUCCUCCAAGUCAAAAAUCCAAACUAACGGUUCUUCUCUAUUCUUACUUGGGUCACUACGAGUUUGUGAGGGCGGUCUACGAUACCGUCGGCCAUAUAUGGGGAAAGUGGCGUCUCCAUGUGCAUCUGAUGAUAUAUAAUAUGGAAAACCGAUGAUAUAUGAUAAGGAAAAUCACAGGGUGGCCUCCUGUUAGUAUAGAAAAGAAAAGAGAGUAUAAAAAAAAUAAGUGAGAAUUAGACUGGUCGGCCAUGUAUGGGGGAUCGACUCCUUGGUACUCACGUUUGAGAGAGCGAGCAUGUAGGAGGACAGCUCGUUGGGGGUUUCGUGACGCCAUUGACUAAUUUCCACUUGGUUGAUUAUUUGAAGGUGAAAUUAUUUAUGGGUGCUGAUAUUGUGCCAUAUGCUUGACUGGUUGUGUGUUUAUUUUAAUAUUUUAGGAUGCAUUUCGCGUGAAUGCCUGUAUUAUUUAUUAUUUAUUAUUAUUCAGUUGAAAAACUCAUCAAAUUUUUAUUUAAAUUUCUCCAGGAAGUAGAUUCUUCCCACUCCUACACAAGCUCUGUUUCUUUCACCACAGAGCUAGAAAUGUAAUCUUUAUUUUUCAGUAAUUAUUUUGAUUACUUUGGUGGUUGUAUGAUAACCAAUUUUGUCUUAGAUGUCAUUUAAACUCUGUAGUUGUAAGAUUAUUAAGUCAUUUGUUAUAUACGGAUAUAGGUAUGUUGACCAUUAAAUGAAUGUUAAUGGAAUAAAUGCAUAUGAUGUAUAUGAACCAGCUAGCUCAUAUGGUAUUGUUAUAGGUAUAGUAUAAUUGGGGACCGAGAAAAUUGAAUAAAUGGUAAA